rnacentral:lncRNA from 1 species
UGAAGUGUACGGCCGCACUUUCCUACCUCACUGAACAAACGUUUGUGUUAUAUAUAUUUUUUUUUUUUUUUUUUUUUUAUCAAACAUCAUAACCUGACCCCCAUCCCUACAAAACUCUUUCUUUUAAGAAGUUCGUGAAAAACUUAAUACGAAACUCCAAUAGGUUAUCCUUCUAGACUUACCCGUUCCGAGAUAAAGUAAGGCCUCCAAAUCAACAAUUUUAACACAUUUGGGAUUUGGGUUAGGGUAAGUGUUUGACCCAAACCCUAACCCAAACACUAACACUAACCCUAACCUAAACACUAACCCAAACCCAAACCCAAACCCUAACCCUAACACUAACCCUAACCUAAACACUAACCCAAACCCUAACCCAAACACUAACACUAACCCUAACCUAAACCCUAACCCUAACCCUAACC